rnacentral:rRNA from 1 species
UGGCUCAGAACGAACGCUGGCGGCGUGCCUAACACAUGCAAGUCGAACGGGACCGGGGGCAACUCCGGUUCAGUGGUGAACGGGUGCGUAACACGUGAGGAACCUGACCAUCGGUGGGGGAUAGCCGGCCCAACGGCCGGGUAAUACCGCGUACGACCUUCGAGGGGCAUCCCUUGGAGGUGAAAGCAGCAAUGCGCCGAUGGAGGGCCUCGCGGCCUAUCAGCUAGUUGGUGAGGUCAUGGCUCACCAAGGCGACGACGGGUAGCUGGUCUGAGAGGAUGGCCAGCCACAUUGGGACUGGAACACGGACCAGACUCCUACGGGAUUGCAGCAGUGGGG